CCAAUAGCGUAUAUUAACGUUGUUGCAGUUAAAAAGCUCGUAGUUGGAUUUCUGGAGGGAGCGUCGGCCCGUAUUUACGAGUGCGUGACGUCUCUGUCCAUCCUUGCGGGAAGGCACGGCAUUGAUUUGUUGUGUCGGAUCGCAUCAUUUACUGUGAAAAAAUUAGAGUGUUCAAAGCAGGCUUUCGCUUGAAUACAUUAGCAUGGAAUAAUAAGAUAGGACUUUGGUGCUAUUUUGUUGGUUGAGCCUAAAGUAAUGAUUAAUAGGGAUAGUUGGGGGCACCUGUAUUGCGUUGUCAGAGGUGAAAUUCUUGGAUUUACGCAAGACAAACAGCUGCGAANGNGUCUGGNAAGGAUGUUUNCAUUA
rnacentral:rRNA from 1 species